rnacentral:rRNA from 1 species
UACGGGGGGGGCAAGCGUUGUUCGGAAUUACUGGGCGUAAAGGGCUCGUAGGCGGCCAACUAAGUCAGACGUGAAAUCCCUCGGCUUAACCGGGGAACUGCGUCUGAUACUGGAUGGCUCGAGUUUGGGAGAGGGAUGCGGGAUUCCAGGUGUAGCGGUGAAAUGCGUAGAUAUCUGGAGGAACACCGGUGGCGAAGGCGGCAUCCUGGACCAACACUGACGCUGAUGAGCGAAAGCCAGGGGAGCAAACGGG